UUGGAGGGCAAGUCUGGUGCCAGCAGCCGCGGUAAUUCCAGCUCCAAUAGCGUAUAUUAAAGUUGUUGCAGUUAAAAAGCUCGUAGUUGAAUUUCGGGAUCAGAUUGUCGGUCGUGCCUCGGUACGCACUGGCAUUAUUGGUUCCUACCUUCUGAAGAACCGCGAUGUCAUUAAUUUGGUGUCGUGGGGAAUCAGGACUGUUACUUUGAAAAAAUUAGAGUGUUUAAAGCAGGCGCACGCUUGAAUACAUUAGCAUGGAAUAAUGAAAUAGGACGUUUGAUUCUAUUUUGUUGGUUUCUAGGAUCGACGUAAUGAUUAAUAGGGAUAGUUGGGGGCAUUAGUAUUCAAUUGUCAGAGGUGAAAUUCUUGGAUUUAUUGAAGACUAACUACUGCGAAAGCAUUUGCCAAGGAUGUUUUCAUUAAUCAAGAACGAAAGUUAGGGGAUCGAAGACGAUCAGAUACCGUCGUAGUCUUAACCAUAAACUAUGCCGACUAGGGAUCGGAUGAUGUUAAUUUUAUAAUGACUCAUUCGGCGCCUUACGGGAAAC
rnacentral:rRNA from 1 species